AUGGCCGGCAGUGAUAAAGAGAAGGCGAAGAAGAAGGAAGAGGAAGAAGAGGCCAAGGCGGAGGCCUCGGCACUUGAAAAAACCCUGGCCCGUCUCUCCACCGAGGAGGGGUCGGGGGUGCGUGUCGUGGAGCGCAUCAUGCACGGCGGCGGCGGCGCGCCUCCGAUGAUGCUCACCCGCACUAACUACUCUGAUUGGGCCAUGAUCACUAAACUUCAGUUGCAGGCUGAUGAGCUGUGGCAUGUGGUGGAAACAGGCCAAGGGACGGACCGCGACGACCGGCGCGCCAUGAUUGCUCUCCUCAAGGGGGUACCGCCGGAGCUCAUGCGGAUCCUGGGCGCAAAGGCCACUGCCAAGGAGGCAUGGGACACUCUGAAGACCAUGCGGAUCGGCGUCGAGCGCGUGCGCGAGGCCAAGGCUCAAACUCGUCGCUCAGAGUACGAGGCGCUCCGGUACAAGGACGGCGAGGGAAUCGAGUCGUACGUGAUGCGGCUCAGGACGAUCAUCGACGAGCUGCAGGGGCUCGGCGAUCCAGUGGACGAGCACAAGGCCGUCCUCAAGGUGCUCCGCACCGUGCCACGCCCGUACCGCGAGAUGGCCGUGGCGAUCGAGUCGCUGGUCGACACCAAACAACUCUCCCUGGAGGAACUCUGUGGCCGGCUCCUUGUCGUCGAGGAGCGAGAGCGCGAGGAGACUCCGGCGACCGACACGCAGCUGCUGUACACCAUCGAUCAGUGGCGGGCGCACGAGAAGCAGCUGGACCAAAGCGGCGCGUCCUCAGGCUCUGGAGCAGGGCGGGGACGCGGGAACGGCAGGGCAAAGAACUUCCACGGAGGGGGUGGCCGUGGCCAGGGCGGUGGCCGCGGCAAUGGUGGUCCGGCGACGCCCAAAGGGAAGGGCAACUGCCGCUACUGCGUCAUCCCAGGUCACUGGGCCAAGGAAUGCCGCAAGAAGGAAAGGGAGCAGCGGGAGCAGACGGACCAACAGGCGAACGUCGCCCAGGUCGACGUCGAGCAGCCGGGCUUGCUGUUGGCCACCUGCGCGGCAGUGAGCGGCGAGAGCGCGAACAGCGGCGCACGUGAACCGGGCGCGGAGAUCUUCCUCAACGAAGCACGGGUCGUGCCCGUGGCGACGGACGACGACAGAUGGUAUCUCGACACCGGCGCUAGCAAUCACAUGACGGGGCACCGCGACAUGCUCUCGGAGCUCGACGAGACGGUACGAGGUACUGUACGUUUUGGUGACGGCUCUGUCGUGCAGAUUUGCGGACGUGGAGUGGUGAUGUUCUCCUGUAAGAACGGCGAGCACCGCGCACUCUCGGACGUCUACUACAUCCCCCAACUGCGGACGAGCAUCGUGAGCCUCGGACAGCUCGACGAGCACGGGUGCAAGUCCGUGAUCGAGGGCGAUGUGCUCUGUCUCUACGACAGGCAGCGCGUGCUUCUGGCACGGGUGCAGCGGACGAGCAACCGGCUCUACGCCGUGGCUCUGAACUUGGCUGCGCCCGUGUGCCUCCUGGCGCACGGCGGCGACGAAGCGUGGCGUUGGCAUGGACGUUUCGGCCACCUCCACUUCCGGGCACUACACGAUCUUGGCGCGAAGGGGAUGGUGCGUGGCAUGCCGGCGAUUCAGCAUGUCGAACAGUUCUGCGAGGGCUGCACACUCGGGAAGAUGCACCGUACGCCAUUCCCACGCGCGUCACCGUACCGCGCGGAGCAGGGGCUUGAUCUCGUCCACGGCGACCUCUGCGGGCCCAUCACACCGGCGACCACGUCCGGUAACAAGUACUUUCUGCUCAUCGUUGAUGAUCACAGUAGAUACAUGUGGUUGGAAGUGCUCAGGAGCAAGGAUGAGGCGUUCAAAUUCUUCAGAAAGAUCAAGGCGGCUGCGGAGACACAGUGCGGUGCAAAGCUCAGAGCGUUCCGCACCGACCGCGGCGGGGAGUUCAACUCGAGCGAGUUCACCGCGUACUGCGAAGAGCACGGCAUCCUAAGGAACACGACGACUCCGUACUCUCCUCAACAAAACGGAGUCGUCGAACGCCGCAACCAGUCCGUGGUCGAGAUGGCUCGCAGCCUGAUGAAAAGCAUGGGCGUGCCGAGCACGUUUUGGGGCGAGGCAGUGCGCACGGCGGUGCACAUCCUCAACCGCUCACCGACGAGGAGUCUGCAGGGCAUGACACCCUAUGAGGCGUGGCGCAAGAAGAAGCCGACGGUCGAUUACUUCCGCACUUUUGGCUGCGUCGCGCACGUCAAGCUCGUCGGCCCUGGCGUGACCAAGCUGGCGGACAGGACACGGCCGGGCAUAUUUCUGGGCUAUGAGGCGGGCACAAAGGGCUAUCGGGUGUACGACCCGAUUGGCAAGCGCUUGUACAUCACACGCGAUGUGCGUUUCGAGGAGGAUCGGCGCUGGGACUGGAGCAAGGAUGGUAGCGACUCGGAGCGCGCCAACCAGUUCACGGUCGUGUACUCCGACACGGGCGUGCCCACAACCACGACCUACUCCGUGUCACCAGCCCCGGUGAUGCCACCUGGCGCAUUAACAACACCAACUGCGCCAGGCUCACCGCUUGCUCCAAGCACGCCGCGGACGCCCACGUCUAGCGGUUCCGCCGUGGACACGCCGAGCGCGUCGAGCACGCAGGCAUGGGUGGACUCAAGCCCGUCCACACCAGUUACUCCUUACAACUCUGAUGACGGGUGGGUGACGCCACCCACCGGCGAGGAUUUCGACGCCGAGGGGGUGCCAGUCCGCUGGAAAUCCAUGGAGUACAUCAUCGACCACGCUCCGGCAUGCACUCUGGAGUACAGUGGGCUCUGUCUCUCCGCAGCAGAGGAACCUGCGUCUGUCGAAGAUGCACUGGAUGAGCCUGCCUGGCGCAGCACAAUGGAGGCGGAGAUGGACUCGAUCCGCUCCAACGGCACCUGGUCUCUUGCCUCCCUGCCCGCCGGACAUCGCGCCAUUGGACUAAAGUGGGUGUUCAAGGUGAAGCGCGACCCAGAUGGAAACAUUGUGAAACACAAAGCUCGUCUGGUGGCAAAGGGAUAUGCACAGAGGCAGGGGGUGGACUUUGACGAAGUGUUCGCUCCCGUAGCUCGUCUAGAAACAGUGAGACUGUUGCUUGCAGUAGCAGCGCAACGGCGAUGGUCAGUGCAUCACAUGGAUGUGCGAUCUGCCUUUCUGAAUGGAGAACUGCAGGAAGAAGUAUAUGUGCAUCAGCCUGCAGGUUUCAUCGACAGCUGCAAUCCCAACAAGGUUCUGAAGCUGCAGAAGGCUCUGUAUGGGCUCCAUCAGGCACCCCGAGCAUGGAAUACCAAGCUGGACACUACGCUGGUUUCCCUUGGUUUUGAGAAGUGUCAGUUGGAUCAUGCCCUAUACAAGCGUGGCAGAGGAACAGAUCAUCUGCUAGUUGGGGUGUACGUUGACGAUCUGAUCAUCUCUGGGUCGUCUAAAGAUGCUAUCAAGCAGUUCAAGCAGCAGAUGCAGGACAUGUUUCAGAUGAGCGAUCUUGGUCUCCUGACUUACUAUCUGGGUUUAGAAGUGAAGCAGGACAAGGAUGGAAUCAGUGUUUGCCAGUCCAGCUAUGCUAAGAAGAUCCUGGAAGAUGCUGGUAUGGAUCAGUGCAAUGCCAGUCAUACACCACUGGAAAAUCGUCUGAAAUUGAGGAAGAACCAGGGAGGAGCAGUGGAUGCAUCUGAAUAUCGAAGCCUCAUUGGGAGCCUGCGGUACUUGGUAAACACACGACCGGAUAUUGCAUAUGCAGUGGGGCUUCUAAGCCGUUUCAUGGAAGCACCAGGAAAGGAGCAUUGGAUUGCAAUCAAGCAAGUUCUGAGGUACAUCAAGGGCACCCUGAAUCUUGGGUGUAUCUACAGAGCAGAAGGGGAAACUGUUCUCGCUGGUUUCAGUGACAGUGACCACGCAGGAGAUCUUGAUGACAGGAAAAGUACCACGGGUACUGUGUUCUUCCUCGGAUCGGGUGCUAUUGCUUGGUCCUCCCAGAAGCAGAAGGUGGUUGCAAAAUCUUCAUGCGAGGCCGAGUACAUAGCAGCAGCAACAGCAGCAAGUCAGGCUGUGUGGCUGAGCAGGUUGCUUGCUGAAAUGUUGGGUACAACAGUUCAGAAGGUCAAGCUGCGUGUUGACAACAGAUCUGCAAUUGAAUUGAGCAAAAAUCCGGUGCAUCAUGAGAGGAGUAAACACAUUGAUCUCAGGUAUCACUAUAUCAGAGAGUGUGUUGAGUUUGGGCGAGUGGAUGUCGUCCAUGUCAGAACCGGAGACCAAGUUGCAGACAUUUUCACAAAAUCCCUUGGAAGGAGCCGGUUCUCUGAGCUACGGAACAAGUUAGGGGUGAUCCAGUGUGUGGCAGAUUAG
rnacentral:rRNA from 1 species